rnacentral:rRNA from 1 species
UACGUAGGCGGAAAAUUAAGUCAGUAGUGAAAUCCUGCAGCUUAACUGUAGACUUGCCAUUGAUACUGUUAGUCUUGAGUACGGUCAAGGUAGGCGGAAUGUGUAAUGUAGCGGUGAAAUGCUUAGAUAUUACACAGAACACCGAUUGCGAAGGCAGCUUACUGGGCCAUUACUGACGCUGAGGCACGAAAGCGUGGGGAGCGAACAGGAUUAGAUACCCUGGUAGUCC